rnacentral:rRNA from 1 species
UACGUAGGGGGCAAGCGUUGUCCGGAUUUAUUGGGCGUAAAGAGCGUGUAGGCGGCCAUACAGGUCAGCUGUGAAAACUCGAGGCUCAACCUCGAGACGUCGGUUGAAACCGUAUGGCUAGAGUCCGGAAGAGGAGAGUGGAAUUCCUGGUGUAGCGGUGAAAUGCGCAGAUAUCAGGAAGAACACCCGUAGCUAAGGCGGCUCACUGGACCACAACUGACGCUGACGCACGAAAGCUAGGGGAGCAAACAGG